AGAGUUUGAUCAUGGCUCAGAUUGAACGCUGGCGGCAUGCCUUACACAUGCAAGUCGAACGGCAGCACGGGAGCAAUCCUGGUGGCGAGUGGCGAACGGGUGAGUAAUAUAUCGGAACGUGCCCAGUAGUGGGGGAUAGCCCGGCGAAAGCCGGAUUAAUACCGCAUACGACCUGUGGGUGAAAGCGGGGGAUCGCAAGACCUCGCGCUAUUGGAGCGGCCGAUAUCAGAUUAGCUAGUUGGUGGGGUAAAGGCCUACCAAGGCGACGAUCUGUAGCUGGUCUGAGAGGACGACCAGCCACACUGGGACUGAGACACGGCCCAGACUCCUACGGGAGGCAGCAGUGGGGAAUUUUGGACAAUGGGCGCAAGCCUGAUCCAGCCAUGCCGCGUGUGGGAAGAAGGCCUUCGGGUUGUAAACCACUUUUGUCAGGGAAGAAACGGCCUUUUCUAAUACAAGGGGCUAAUGACGGUACCUGAAGAAUAAGCACCGGCUAACUACGUG
rnacentral:rRNA from 1 species